CCUACGGGAGGCAGCAGUGAGGAAUAUUGGUCAAUGGACGAGAGUCUGAACCAGCCAAGUCGCGUGAAGGAUGACGGCCCUAUGGGUUGUAAACUUCUUUUAUAUGGGAGUAAAUUGGUACACGUGUGGGCUUCUGUAAGUACCAUAAGAAUAAGGAUCGGCUAAAUCCGUGCCAGCAGCCGCGGUAAUAUGGAGGAUCCAAGCGUUAUCCGGAUUUUUUGGGUUUAAAGGGAGCGUAGGGGGAUUGAUAAGUUAGGUGUGAAAGUUUCGGGCUUAACUCGGGAAGUGCCGUUGAUACUGGUGGUCUAGAGUGGAGAAGAGGUAGGCGGAAUGCGUGGUGUAGCGGUGAAAUGCUUAGAGAUCACGCAGAACUCCGAUUGCGAAGGCAGCUUACCGGACUAUAACUGACGCUGAGGCACGAAAGCGUGGGGAUCAAACAGGAUUAGAUACCCGAGUAGUC
rnacentral:rRNA from 1 species